CAAAAAUAUGCAACGGUAGAGAAUUUAAAAGCAGCACUCGUAGAAAUUCAACUAUGUUCCAGGUUGGUGUCUCUGUUACUAAAGAAGAAAUCCUUGAACAAUGGGGACUCACCUGAGCUGCACACUGAAAAGGUCGAAAAAUUGAAAGUAUUAUCAGAAUCUCUUGCUAAUUCCACCUCACAAGCAGAAAAGCGCAUUUUGGACCACAGGGAAUGGUAAGAGAC